rnacentral:tRNA from 1 species
GAGAAAUAAGCAUAAGUUAUAGUGUGCCUAGCUUGAAACUAGGAGGAGGGGGUUAUACCCGCCAUUUCUCG